rnacentral:rRNA from 1 species
AUUGAACGCUGGCGGCAUGCCUUACACAUGCAAGUCGAACGGCAGCACGGGAGCAAUCCUGGUGGCGAGUGGCGAACGGGUGAGUAAAGUAUCGGAACGUGCCCAGUCGUGGGGGAUAACGUAGCGAAAGUUACGCUAAUACCGCAUACGAUCUAUGGAUGAAAGCGGGGGAUCGCAAGACCUCGCGCGAUUGGAGCGGCCGAUAUCAGAGUAGGUAGUUGGUGGGGUAAAGGCUCACCAAGCCGACGAUCUGUAGCUGGUCUGAGAGGACGACCAGCCACACUGGGACUGAGACACGGCCCAGACUCCUACGGGAGGCAGCAGUGGGGAAUUUUGGACAAUGGGCGCAAGCCUGAUCCAGCCAUGCCGCGUGCAGGAUGAAGGCCUUCGGGUUGUAAACUGCUUUUGUACGGAACGAAAAGGUUUGGCUUAAUACGUUGAACUCAUGACGGUACCGUAAGAAUAAGCACCGGCUAACUACGUGCCAGCAGCCGCCGUAA